rnacentral:lncRNA from 1 species
AUUUCUUCAGCCUAGAGAAGAGGAAAUUGAGGGGAGGUUGCAUGGUGGCCUAUAGGUUCCUCAUGAGGAGAGGAGAGUGCUGAUUUUCUGGGUAACAGAAAAAUAACAGUCUGUUACAUCUGAGUGGCAUUUGGAAAGGGAACCAAAUGAAAAUUCCUAAAGAAAACUGAUUAUUUUCCAGUUUAAUGGAAACUUAAGUAUCGCUUGCUUGGCAGAUCUGCUAGAAUUUAAACUGUCUCUUGUCAGAUUUCAUUAUAAGAAGAAGGGAGAAAAAAAAAAAAAGAAAAAAAAGAAGGUAAGGAUGCCAGAAUGAUGCAAACGUGAACAACUAUACAAGCAUGUAAACAACUAUGUGAACUGUCUUCCUGACUGGAUUUGCAAUGAAAUGGGUUGGUUUUGAAGUGCAGCUAAUGAGAGAUACACACUAUUAUAAGAAAGAAAAAAGAAGUCUUCUAUACCUUAUUGGAUCCAAUCUGUCAAUUAAGAGUUAGUGAUUUAUUUAUUUAUUUAUUUUACAUCUCGAUUCUAUCUCAUGUUUUGUAUAUACUGUUCAGCUGGGACUAUGAGACAGAAGGCACCUUUUCAGUGACUUCUGAGGCUUUACUUCAUUUUAUCUGCCAUUAUCUGAAUUGCUCACCACACUUCAGUGAGCCUUGUCUGACUACAGCUGAGUGACUGAUACAACUGAGCAGCCAGUAAUCAAAUGAAUUGCUUAGUAAAACUGGUCACAUUCACAACCUCUCUGAGCUGCCUGUUCCAGUGUUCUGUCAUUCUGAAGAGAAUAGAUAUAUUGUUCUUUAGACACAUCUGUAUUCCUGAAAGAAAACGAAUCCAGCUUGAAAGAAACUUUGAAUGCCAGGUAGAAUAUCGUUAAAUGUGAUAGAUACAUCACUGAAUGAUCUUAGCAUGACUGUGGAAGGGAAGAAUUUCAGGGAAGGCAGGUAGAAAUUAAAGUUUUCAGCUCUGAAAAGUUUCUUGUUAGUUGUCACUUGCAUCACCAAUGUGUCUCAGAGCCAUCACUGAAAAAGAUGGAAAUUACUUUAUCUUAUGCUAUACCCCUUUCUCUUGAGAAGCAAAUGUGGUGUGAUUAAAUUCUCAGUUUAAUUA